rnacentral:rRNA from 1 species
GGCCUGAGAGGGCGACCGGCCACACUGGGACUGAGACACGGCCCAGACUCCUACGGGAGGCAGCAGUGGGGAAUAUUGCACAAUGGGCGGAAGCCUGAUGCAGCGACGCCGCGUGAGGGAUGACGGCCUUCGGGUUGUAAACCUCUUUCAGCAGGGACGAAGCGUAAGUGACGGUACCUGCAGAAGAAGCGCCGGCCAACUACGUGCCAGCAGCCGCGGUAAGACGUAGGGCGCGAGCGUUGUCCGGAUUUAUUGGGCGUAAAGAGCUCGUAGGCGGCUUGUCGCGUCGACCGUGAAAACCUGGGGCUCAACCCCAGGCCUGCGGUCGAUACGGGCAGGCUAGAGUUCGGUAGGGGAGACUGGAAUUCCUGGUGUAGCGGUGAAAUGCGCAGAUAUCAGGAGGAACACCGGUGGCGAAGGCGGGUCUCUGGGCCGAUACUGACGCUGAGGAGCGAAAGCGUGGGGAGCGAACA